ensembl:lncRNA
GUGUUUACAUUAUAAGCGAGUCAAUAAGUUGACGUUAAUUGCUGCUUUAUUUAAAAACAAGGCCACUAACUAGAUGGUUGCACAGCACGAGCGUUUUAAAAAGUUGUGGUGACUGUUUUUUAACAGUGCCUCACCCUUCCACACUCUCAGAGUGGGUAAAUAACAUGAAGCUGAGCUGUGGACUGAAGUUAGCUAUAUUUAUAUAUUGAACUAUUUCAUAUUUUCCGAGGGUGUGGAUGGUGAAGAGCUACAGAACUAUAAGAGCACAGAGGCAUACAACUACCUUUAUAGUAACAAAAUAGGAAAGUUAUUGUAUAAAAAAUACGGUGUCAUUUUUUUGAAAGCUGAGGUAGAGUCGUCAGACCAUCAGCCGAAGUAAACAUCAAGCGUUACCUCAGCUUUAAAAAAAAAAUCGAGUUUUGUAUACAAUACCUUUCCUAUAAUAUGUAAAUAAAUGAUCUUUUUUGCAUCCGGAUCAGAAUACAGCUCUGUAUGAUUCUUUUUAACAAAGUGAAACGAGCAAACAUAUAUAUCUUCUUUCAGUUUUAAAGCUGCAAUCCUCGCUGGGCUCCCUCCCUUUUCCUUUAAAUGUAAUGCAAAAAAAACGGCGCCGGACACAAACAGUGUUCACGAAGCUGCUGGUGUUCAAAGCAUGUCAUUUCCAACAACUUCAACUUUUUCAACUUAGCUAGCAGUGCUAAAAUGCUAACGCGAGCUAGACCAAAAAAACGGCAAACGGAACUAUAAUGGGAUGUCAUGGCAGCCCCCCCUUGGGAUUUUUUUGGAGAAAAAGAUAGUAUGAGAGAGGACACUUCCCACAUGACACACCCCACAGGACGCUGCCCACAGGAUGCUGCUGACUGAAGAUUUCUUGCUGCAGUGACAACUCACAAUGGGACAGGAACACUUCCAUCACCUCAGUCCAUCCCAAGGGCAGCUGUGGUCUAAAGGUAAAAGAAGCAAGAUUGGGACCAGAAGGUUGCUGGUUUAAGCCCCAGGACCAGGAUUCAUUUAGAGCUGAGGUGCAGGGUGAGGCCAGGAAUAGAGCACACGUGAAGCAGAAGCAGCUGCACGCCGGCAGAGCGAGAGGGAGGGGUGAGGGGAAUAUCGAGGAAUGUGACCGCACACUGUGGGACACACACACACACACACUCACUCACAUUCAAUCUGUUCUAAUUCUCUGGAAUAACAGUAGGGCCUGUUGUGUUCCUCAGUCCCAUAUUUCCAUGUAAAGUAGAACACAUGCUAUAAAAACAUGUGCUGGGGAACAACAAGACAUAACAUCUGAUAUUUAAUACCGCAUGCUUCUCAGUCAUGUUUGCCUCUUGAAUUUUAAUUGCAACAGUCAUAAGAAUAUCUGAAAUCUUUGUCAUUAUUUGGAUGUUUAUUGGGAUCUUUGUUGGUUUAAUAUUACAGUAACAUCAUAUUACAGAGUAAUGUGUUUAUUUACAUGUGAACAAUAACAUUAGUGUCAGUGCUACUAAGAGAAAAAUACCAAACUAUUUUCAGUGGAACUGCUUUAUUUUGUCCGUAUCUGCAAACUUUGGGAGGAUAUGCACAAAUGUGGACAAGGUGACGGCAGAGUACGGAAAGAAGGCUCUGUCCGUAUCUGUAUUUCUUUAUCCCCAAUUUACACAGCCAAUUACCCAACCCACUCAUUAGAACUACCCCCCAACACUAGUGAUGCCCCAACACCAGGAAGGUGAAGACCAGCACAUGCCUCCUCCGAUACAUGUGAAGUCAGACUCCGCCUCUUUUUGAACUGCUGCUGAUGCAGCAUUGCUGAGUAGCAUCACAGCACAGUGCGCUCGGAGGAAAGCGCAGCAACUCGGUUCUGAUACAUCAGCUCACAGACGCGUCAUGCUGCGGACAUCACCCUUUGGAGUGAUGUGGGGAGAGAGUGCCAACUACCCACCCGGAGAGAGAGCAAGGCCAAUUGUGCUCUCUCAGGCCUCCAGCAAAAUUGUUUCAAACACUGAACAUGGGUCUUCCAAACAGAAUAGAAGCUUAAAUACUGUAUUUUGAAUAAAAAAAAAAGGGCGAAUGCUCUAAUCA